rnacentral:lncRNA from 1 species
GAAACAAAACUAACUCUCAAAGCUAAGAGUCUAAGCAGAUGAGUCUCAAUGUGGAUGAAGAUUUAGUGACUGAAAUGGAGGAAGCACCCACUUUAGCUCCAUCUAUACCAUUAGAAAAUGUUCAAGAAAUGGUAAGGAAUGAUCCUUUGCAUGUGCCUAUAGGAUAUGUGACGAGUCAAGAAGAAUUGGAGAAAGCCAAUUAUAUGCCUCACCUUUCAUCUGAGAUCCCUGUCAUUGAUUUAGCAUUGCUCUCAAAUGGAAACAAGGAGGAGUUGUUAAAAUUUGACGUAGCAUGCAAGGAGUGGGGUUUCUUUCAGAUAGUAAAUCAUGGUGUUCAAACAGAGCUUAUGCAGAAAAUGAAGGAUGCAGCAUCUGAGUUUUUCAAUCUUCCAAUAGAAGAGAAGAACAAGUAUGCAAUGGUUUCAAGUGAGACACAUGGUUAUGGGAAGGGUUGUGUAGUUUCUGGAGAGCAGACACUUGACUGGUCAGAUUCACUAAUAUUAAUCACAUACCCCACCCAGUACAGAAAGCUUCAAUUUUGGCCUAAAACUCCAGAGGGAUUCAUGGAGAUAAUAGAGGCUUAUGCAAGUGAAGUUAGACGAGUUGGGGAGGAACUGCUUAGUUCAAUGUCAGUGAUUAUGGGAAUGCGGAAGCAUGUUCUUUUUGGACUACAUAAAGAAUCGUAUCAAGUUUUACGACUGAACUAUUAUCCUCCUUGAAGCACACCUGAACAAGUGCAGGGUUUGAGUCCACAUUCUGACACAAGCAGCAUCACCUUGCUUAUGCAAGACGAUGAUGUAACUGGCUUAGAAAUUCGACACCAAGGAGGAUGGGUGCCAGUGAACCCAAUACCAGAUGCUCUAGUUGUCAAUGUUGGAGAUGUAACUGAGAUAUGGAGUAAUGGCAAAUACAAGAGUGUAGAACACAGAGCAAUGACAAAUAAGAACAAGGAAAGGAUUUCUUAUGGAUUAUUUUUGUGCCCACAGCAUGACGUGGAAGUUGAGCCACUUGAUCAUAUGAUAGAUUCUCAUAACCCCAAGUUGUUUCAGAAAGUAAGGUAUGGAGAUUAUUUGAGACAAUCUCUGAAAAGGAAGUUGGAGGGAAAAACACACCUAAAUGAGGCAAAGUUAAAGGAGUCUGAUCUAAGGAAUCAAGAUGAUUAAGAAAAGCAAAGGCCCAGUAAGAGAAAUGAGAAAAGAAAAGAAAGUUUGAAAGUACUCCCUCAUGCUGUCAUAUUUUGAUCCGUGUAUAAUAAUAAAUGCCAUAUUGUAUUUGUCAUAUUUUGUAUAAUAAAUGUCAUAUUCAUCUAGAGUAGAAUCUCUACUCUCUACUUAAUCCAAGCCCAACUGCAAGUAAGAUUUCAUUGUGAACCAACCUCUGUAACGUAAUCUCUG